GUAGUUACGACCAGAUAAUAUGCAGAUGGUAAAAAUACGAUUGCAGAAUCCCUACUAGAUAAUAUGAACUUGGUCAAGAUACGAUUGUGGCAUCCCUAUAAUGUCUAUUUACAUUUCAAACAUCAAACCGCUAAAUGGUGAAAAAAAAAAUUCUUUUGAAAAAUAAUAAGUUUGUUGCUCAUAUCCACAGCCCAAGGGUGGCUGUCACAAAGCCAACUCUUUUCGCGCAACCUGUGUAGUGUAAAAGAGUUGGGAAUAUUUAUAUGGAAAACAAUAAAAAGGUAUUAAGGGAUGUAUGUUGGAAUCUUUGGAUUGGCAAGAAAAUAUUUACAUUAGAAACACAACAGCAAAAUUUAUCAGCCAGGAUAUAAAAAUGUAUUACAUUGUUGUUGUCCAAUGUCAAAGGCAAUCGAAAAACUAGUGUGUUUUGGUGUCAAAGGUUUUGUUGGAUAUUUGCAACAGGCAUUUGUCUUGGCCAGAAAUACAACAACAUAAAGGAAAAAUGGAUAAUGGAGAUUUUAGGAAAAGGAAAAGUAUUUUCCAAUCAGUUUAUUUGUUAUAUUAAGAUUGUAACAAGUGUUUGUUUUGUUUCCAGGUACACGUUCAUGAACGUAUGGAAUGCAUUAUUUUGUGUGCUAUGAAUGACGUAGAAUGUGAGCAGGUAUAUUGGCCUACAUGUGUGUCUACUCUAUUGGUCCAGUUGGGAAUUUAUUGCAGAUAUG